rnacentral:rRNA from 1 species
GCCUACCGUGGCAAUGACGGGUAACGGGGAAUUAGGGUUCGAUUCCGGAGAGGGAGCCUGAGAAACGGCUACCACAUCUAAGGAAGGCAGCAGGCGCGCAAAUUACCCAAUCCUAAUACAGGGAGGUAGUGACAAGAAAUAACAAUACAGGACUUUUUGGUUUUGUAAUUGGAAUGAGUUAAGUAUAAACCCCUUUACAAGUAUCAAUUGGAGGGCAAGUCUGGUGCCAGCAGCCGCGGUAAUUCCAGCUCCAAUAGCGUAUAUUAAAGUUGUUGCAGUUAAAAAGCUCGUAGUUGGAUUUCUGUUAAUAAUUUAUAUAAAAUAUUUUGAUGAAUAUUUAUAUAAUAUUAACAUAAUUCAUAUUACUAUAUAUUUUAGUAUAUGAAAUUUUACUUUGAGAAAAUUAGAGUGCUUAAAGCAGGCAUAUGCCUUGAAUACUCCAGCAUGGAAUAAUAUUAAAGAUUUUUAUCUUUCUUAUUGGUUCUAAGAUAAGAAUAAUGAUUAAUAGGGACAGUUGGGGGCAUUUGUAUUUAACAGUCA